rnacentral:miRNA from 1 species
UCCCUGAGUAUAUGUGGUGAA